UACGUAGGGACCAAGCGUUGUUCGGAUUUACUGGGCGUAAAGGGCGCGUAGGCGGCGCGGUAAGUCACUUGUGAAAUCUCUGAGCUUAACUCAGAACGGCCAAGUGAUACUGCAGUGCUAGAGUGUGGAAGGGGCAAUCGGAAUUCUUGGUGUAGCGGUGAAAUGCGUAGAUAUCAAGAGGAACACCUGAGGUGAAGACGGGUUGCUGGGCCAACACUGACGCUGAGGCGCGAAAGCUAGGGGAGCAAACAGG
rnacentral:rRNA from 1 species